rnacentral:tRNA from 1 species
CAAAUUAUUCAUAGUGAUAUUAUUUUUUACAAAAUUAUUUAGUGUUGUGCAAUUCAACUUAAUUUGA